CGAGAGGUAGACGGAGAUGAGACCAAAGCAGAGGGAGUAAAGAGAUGAGGCUUGGAUUGGACUUAGAGAGGAGGGAACUGGUUUGGUGAGCACUGAGCAGACUAAGGCUAGGCGGCUGUGUGGAAACUGGAAAGGUCGUUCGUUUGUAUCCAGAGCGUAUGAGUGAGAGGCUAGGGUUAUGAACUUAUGAAUAUAUAUGUGUGUUAAUUUUUUUUUUAAGAGGGUAUUAAAUUAUUAAUAAGUAUUCUGCUAGG
rnacentral:lncRNA from 1 species